rnacentral:ncRNA from 1 species
GACCAGAAAAACAGUAAACUAUGCCUGGGCAGGGUGAUACCCGGAAACUCUGGUGGUGUCUUACUGUAAUGGUCCUGAUGUGCAUGCAGCCUUACCUGAUCUGGGUAUAAGAUUGAAAGACUAAUCGAACCAUGCAGUAGCUAG